ACAAAUGUCCCCCACCCAUCAUGCUAGAGGCAGCUUUUGUGUGUUGUGAACUGAAUUGAACUGCAGAUCAAUCAAUUAAUAUAACAUGACCCAGGCCAUAACUCUUAACUCUACAUGAAUUACACCUAUCAUCUGUGAAAUACGACGGUCGACUCCAAGGUGUUUAGUGUCACAAAUAGCUGUUGGGGAUUACACUGAUGACAAGAGCCAGUAAGGCAACACUGCUCCUUCUGUUACUACUGUUUGGCACCUGAGGAGCUCCAACCAUUCUGUAGUUACAUCCCUACAACAGCAUUUCAACAAGAAGGAACGAAAACACACCCUCACUAAACUGGUUUCAUUGUGGAUGGUUUACUAUUCAGCUAUUAAACGGUUUCAAAUCCUCAAAGACGAGGCCUGGCUUGUUCAGCUUUCAGUGGGAAUUAAGGUGAACAUUUCUGAACUACGUCAUGUGAACUGCAUUCUAAUGCAUGUCUUUAUUUAGUCUGUCACUCCGGGGGUGAAUCUGUGGCCUGGGCUUAUAGCAGUUAUGCUGUGUAUUCAUUUCCUGUAUGUUUCUUUGCUCAGUGUUAAAUUGGCUUUUAUAACGAAGUCCCAUAAAUAUGUGAGGAGGAAAAAAGUUUGUAGAUCCUUGGGAUUUAUCGGGAUUUCAGAGUGAAUGGCUCUUAACCUGUGAUCCAGACUUCUUUCAGAACAUCUGUCAUCUUUAUCAAAACAAUGAUUUAAACGGUCAACAUUUGCUACUGAGCAGAACCUGAUUUAUUGACAAAAGCCUUCCAGCUCUUGUUUCUGAUUAGCGUUUCAGCCCUUUUAAUCCCUACAUCUCUACAAAAUUGUUUUUCUACAUUUAUAUUGUUUGAAUGGUCUGCCUCAGAUCCGUUUAUAGCAUUUCAGCAGCAUUGAGGUCAGUGGCCAAAUAAUCUUCUGUUUGAGUAAAUAGCUGCUCAUGUUUACGCUUGUGUUUUGGAUUAUUGUCACAUUGCAUAACUUUUAGAUUGUAGGCAGAUGCCCUGAUGUGAUGCGGUGGAGUUUCCUGAUAUGACUUUAUUAGUGUUUAUUGGUGACUCAUUUAGGCAAGCCUUCCAGAUCCUUAGAAAUCAAGAGAAGUCGCACAAUGUUUUACUCCCAUCACCAGGUUUUGGUGUUGCUAUGCAGUGUUUUGUUUAGUUCAGAUAUGUAUAUAGUGGCAGCCGUGAGAAAAUCAUUUACAUGGUGAAACUUGGACCGUAUCCUGAACUGAAAUGUUUGUCUACGCAUAACGUCAUGCAGAUAAAUAAUUCAAAUAAUAUUCACAUCAAGGACCAGAUUAAUGAAAGUUGGACAGUUAAAGAGUUGAAGUCAUCUGCUCUUUUUCCAAUCUUCAGCUGUCCAGUUUUCCAGGAGUGAAACCCAAUACAGUACUGGAGCCCAUUCACUUCAAGUUUCAAUACGUUCUGAGAUGCAUUUCGACUGUAAAGAGGUGAUUCCAGACUGUGAUCCCAGUUCUUGGUGACUUCUUGCUCGUAACCUGUCCCUCCAUGAUGUGAUGUUCUGUGCGGCUGCCCCUAUGAUAGGCUGAUUAACUGGGCUGGAUAUACAGGAUACAGAUAUCAACAUUCAUAGCUCCACUUUUGUGUCAUCUCUCUAAAAAACAUUGUUCUCACGUUACUUUCUAGGAAGCUGCCUCAUGGGACGAUAUUUUCUUUUAGAAAGCAGUGGUUUCCUGUGUGGUAAACUCCCAUAAACACGGCUCUUAUUAGUUUUCUUUUGGUUCACUCAUGAAUAAAAAGAUGAUCAGAUUAUCAGUUACAACACAGACCCUUAACCGUAGCCCCAUGGUUGCCUGCCAGUUGUUUAGGAACUUUUUGUCGAUGUAUACAGAUCUACGGACAUUUGGAAGGUGGAAACAGUGCUGGAUUUCUUCCAUGUGUGAACUGUUUGCUUGACUGUGGACCAGUGGAGGCCUGACUGUGUAGGGAUUUUCGUAACCCUUUAAGGGUCUGACUUUUCCAUAGCUUUAGAGCAUUGUGAAGGUUUUAGAUCACAUAUUCAUGGCAAGACACAGCACUGAGAAAGGGGGUAAAUGUGUUUUCUAUAAUCCCCAAAUAUGUACAAAACAAACAAACAAAAAAAAGUGGAUUUUUAUAUAACACAGUCAGGUCAAGAUCACAACUAAACCGUUUAGACUAUCUGUCUCUAGUUACACUUUUCUCAACUGGGAAUUAAUAAAGGAUCAAAUACCACUAACAAUAACACAGAUUUUUGUAAAUACAUGAGCUUUUUUAUAAUCUGUUGUGCUUUUGUCAAACAAGAUUCUUUACAUUGAAAAAUGUUAAUAAGUUUCACUGACACAGAAAUUCAGGUAGACCUAGAAGGUUCACAGGUUUUUGUACAUGCUGCAGGUUUACAUAUGAUUGGAUCAAAAAAAUCCAGCUAUUCCUGUACCAAGAGUACCAAUGUCAGUUUCUUCUUCCCUGAAUCUGUUUUUUUUUUUUCAGUUUGUACUUGUGCUGUUUGGUGUGAAUAGAUCCCUGCCCUGUUCCCACAAAUAUAGAUUUCUAAAGCAUUGGUUUUCCAAAAAUCACCAGCUGUGAUAUCCACAUAUAUAUAUUACAUAUUUAUUACGUCAGUGGUCCAUGUGUUUUCUUCUUCAUCAUUUUCUUCUUCUUCUUUUCUUCUUCAUCUGACUCAUCUGCCCUGGUUUGACAGUCACUGUGUAAACGAAGAGCCGUGAAGCCGCUGUUGCUUUUGGUCAGCGGUUUAUUUUGAGCUUCUCAUUCCAUAGUAAGUGUGAACUGUUCACUGAUCCUUCAUUAAGAUAAAUGAGCGCAGAUAUAUUUAUGCAUUGCAGUCAUAAUCAGCAACACAUUGCAGUUUUUCUUAAUGAAAGUGUUUUAAAUGUCUUACUAUUACAUUCCUGGUUAUGUGGUGACAUUGUGCAUGACAGGCUGCUGGUGCUUUAAGCUGCAAAACACAAUAUGAAAAUUAUGGUUGAGUCACCAGGGAACUUUGGGCAAUGGAAAUUGUUUAAUUGUUCUCUUUUCACGCCACGGUUAUAGACAAGAGUGACCAAAGAUCAGAGUGCCACGCGACACCGAUGCCGGUCAUAUGGUUGAAAUUUCUCAUACUCUGUUGGCUUCUUUCCCCAGCAUGAGGUAAACAAUUCAUUGUGUCUUGGUGUUGGCAAGCAUUUCACCUGGAUUUACUGAGUCAGGAUUUCAGAGGUAACAUACUGUAUAACAGCAUGUGGUUUGACCUUCAUGGAGCUCAUUCAUACUACCAGGGACCUCUGGACUGUGUCUUUGUAUCCAGAGUAAUCAGGUAGUUACUGUAGGUCACAGAUUAGCUGUAUAUACGUCCUAAAAACACGCUCAUAUGCAGUUUAAGCUCUGAGUUUCUGGCAUGUUCCAGUUUAAGAAAAUACCAAUCAAUAUUACGCUAACAUUAGCAUGUAUCCUCCCAAGCAAAAAAAAAACAAUUGAAUAUCGUUGUUUAUAUAUAUUUCAGGAAAAGCCAGGUUUUUAUAACUUACUGGAAAUUAUUUGUGUUUCUAAUUUCAAUCCACUGCUAAAUGUUCAAGCAAAAUUUGACACUUGCCCAUGUCUUGUAAACAGCAUGUCCUAACAUUCUUUAAAUCAUAAUGACCAUUUCACUGAAAAGCUGAAAGCCUGAAGCUGAACCCAGAAAUAGAAAACGUUCUUGCGCCUCUUCCAUAUGGAUUUUUUUUUUUAGUAAUUUACAGUGAACACUGUCAAACACUGUAAAGAAAUUUUUGAAAAAAAUACAGUAAAAUUUAGCGGUGUUCUGUUUUGUUAACAUUAACAUUAUAACAUUACUUCUGGAUAUUAUGUGAAGCAGAAGAGUCUCUUAUUGCUUUGCCUCUCUUGGAUAAAGCAGUCUCAGCCAGUCUGAACUUAUUAUCUGGACUCAACUGUAGUGGCUACGAUGUUGCAGGAUUGCAGUUCCACUGUUAUUAAAGUCACUGAAGGCCAAAUGUAGAGGUUGGUUUAUUGCAGAGUUCAGAGACGAGAGAGUGAGUGAAGUUUCCACUCGAUCAUGUACCCGGGGUGUGGCGGCUCGAUGUGGUAAACGCAGAUAAGACGUGACUAAUGUUUGGAUACACAAAUGCACCUGGACUUUCAUCAAUGGAGAAGGAGGAGUUUAUGUAAUAGUGGCCUGAGGUGAAUCUAUAAGCCAGUGAAAGGAUAAGAAAAGCAUUAGAUGUAUGAAAUGUGUGGUGAGAUGUUGCUGUGGCUGAAUUCUGGGAAACAGCCAAACAAAAAAGCAUUGCCAUUAUCUGUAUAUCUAUUUUUCUGGUGCUCCAGGUAUGUUCAUUUGUAUUUGGUGGGCGUGGCCUAAAUCAGCUACAAUCAAUCUUCAUUUGUGGUUAGAUUCUGACUGUUUAAAUGAGAUGUAAGAACAUGAGACACUGGCAGCACGUCAGGAGAGCUUGAUUCACUAUGUACAGGUCUUUCCCAGGUGAUUCCUACACAUAUAUUAUUGUGAGUUCGAAUCCCAAAGAUCCCACAGCCAGGAGUUUCAAGAGAGCAAAACUGGCCAUGCUUGCUGGGUGGGAGGGAUGACACACCCAUUUUCCCUAUCAAUCACAAUCACACUAGCCCACCAUGGGGCAUCUGUGAGCUCAUACAUGUGGAAGUGGGCAAAUAGCGCUUUCCUCCAAUUGUGUUAUGCUGCCACCCAGAGCAGCAGGUCAAAAAGAUGUGGUGAACAGGCUUCGCAUGCCUCGGAGGAAGCAUGCAUGAGCCUUCAUCUGUACUGAGUAGUAAUAGAUGUGUGAUUAACAUAAUGGAAGGAAUAGACCAUGACUUAAUUUGGAAAAUAACUGGGGAAAAAUAAUCAACAAAAAACAUGUGUAUUUGUUUUAUUAUUGUUAUUAGUAAUUUUCCAUUUAUAUAGUACCUUUCUAACACUCCACCCACAAGACUGAAUGCUGUGAGUCUGACUCACGCUUUUUGAAUAGUUCUGAUUGUGUUAAAAAUCUCACUGUGGUUAUGUCAUGCCUUUGAGUUGAUACUGUUAGCCAUGAGGGGACUUUUGUCUACCCACCACCUGCUAGUCACACCCUGGCCCCCAGGGUUUCAAUUUGGAUGUGUCACUUGUAACCUGCAUGCUUUUAUGUAAAGCUAUAGCACUGAUAACUGUCACCUGCAUGCAGUAAUCCAUACAAAAAUAUUCAUUCUUUCUAACCAUGAACUCUUAAUGAAUCUUAAAUCAGUUAAGUUCCACUGAGGUCUGUGACGUGUAACCAGAGGGUCAAUUUGAAUUAUUUAUUCAUUUGAAUUGUUUUAUUGCGGUAUUAUGUAAUAUCAAAGUUGUUGUCGUUGUUACUGUGAAUUUAUUACAAGCCUAACCAAAGUGAAGCUUGAAUACAACUGCAGAAGUAGGGUAAGGACUAUGAUUCUAAAACAAAAAGGACUCUGAGGUGCUUUUCUGCUCACCAUAGCUGUAAAGAGUCAUUAUUACUGUAUUCCUCCAGUCAGCAUUAGUCAAGGGUUAUAUUUUGCUGAGUCUAGACAUUAUUCUUCGCCUGACUUAUGACAAUUCAGUUUUAUUUCUAUUGCGUGUAUCAGUUCUUCAGACCCUUUCUUCUUUUGAGUCGAUGAUGUUUGUUAUUUGUGAUAAACCUGUGACAUGCAUUUAUUUUCUUCAUCCACAUAGUGUAAUUAUGACUCUUAGCUCUUUACAUUUCUAAAAGCCUGACACAGUACAGAGUCGACUUUCACCAUGAGGACUCAACAUAACAAGGUCAUGCUAAUUGGCAGAGGAAGUGCCGUGGAUUUCUCAGGCCCGGAGAACGAUCUGAGCGUAAGUCAGGAUACUGUUUCUUGCUUCCAUUCGUCCAAGUCCCGAUUUAAUCCAACCACAAUCAUGUGUUCGAGGAGGAGGAGGAGGAGGAGGAGGGUGUCCAUCCGGCCAUGCUGCACAGGGAAUUGGCAGUGCCAUGCUGCCUGUGUAAUGCAAUGGAUCAAAAAAGGCAGGCUGCUAAUCCCCUCGCUGGAUUGGUGUCACUCUAUACCCUGAGGAUAUAAUGUGGCAGCUGGCCUGCUGAACUUGUCAUGAUCACGUAUGGCCACAAGCUUAGGAAACAUAGAAGAGUUUGCCUUGCUUAAGCAGAAUUUGAAAACUGUCACAGGUAAUGAGCAUCAUUGCUAGGGGUUCUGACUAGGACUAAUACAUUGACUAGUCAGGGGGGAAAAACAGUGAGACAGACAGAAAACAACUUUGUUAAUCUGAAAAUAUUAAACUAGAUGAAGCUAAUUCUACAGUCAACCUCUCAAGACUAUGUUUGACUUUAAUGGACCUUUAUAAUCUUGCAUGAACUGGAAAAUUUCUGUGGGCAAGAAUUAAUUGCACAUCAAUCUGCUCAACGCUGCUAAAAAAUUCCUCUCAACUUUCAUUUGUUCUUUAAAGCAUUUUUUUUGAACAUUAGUACAUAUUGACAUUGUGUAUUUCAUCCAUUAUUAAAAUAUAAGCAUUGCAUGAUGAUUUUCAGACUCGGUGAUCAGCUCGUCUACAUGACUCCAUUUUAAGAAUUGUUACAUCCUUAAAUAGUGUGAUCUGAUUCACAGAUUUAUUAACGUGCAUGUUUUUGGACUGAUUUAUUUAUUUUUAGCUUGUUACCAGGGUUGAUACUGGAAAUGUGAAACCUGUGUAUGGCUGUUAUUGAACUUCAUUUCUGCACAAAUUAAACAGCCUACAAAUAGGGAUGUCCUGAGACAGUUUAGAAAACAGACAUGUUUAUGGCAUUACUGGCUGACAAGUAAAAAUGAACAGUCAUGCAACCUGUAUUUCUGAUUUGUUUUGGUAUCUGUUUGCUAGCUGAAACGCACAAUGCAAACCUGUCUCUUCCCUCAGGCCUUCUUUACUGUCGUGCCUCUGUAGUAUCUGUCUUAACGUCUCUGAUCCUCCUCCAUAUGGCACUAAAUGUAAUACUUACGUGAUAAUAGAUUAGGGUAUCGGUGACGGCGAGUGCAGGUAAAGUAACUGAAUCCACUUUAGAAGUGACUCCCUGAACAUCAAUCACUCACACAACAAAAAAAAGGCAAGUUCAAAAGCAGCAUUCAACAAAACAGCCAUCAAAGGUGUAGAGUACGGUUUAACAGAGAGGCCUUAAAUGGGGUCCUUGAAGACUAAUUUUUUUCUUGCCACAGCUGGAUCUCUUUUCCUCAUGUAUAUUCUGGCAUCUGCCUCAUGUUUAGAUGUUACGGGUUCAAAUCCAAUAUUAAGAAUGAGUGAAAGUGAAAAUACUUGUGUAAUACCAUGGUAUUAGCAGCAGAGCUCAUUAUCUACGCCCGUUUUUGUGCCAAUGUUUCUAUUGUACUGCUGUGUGAAUAAUUUGUUUUCCUCUUGAUGUUGCAGGAAUCUCCUGUUCAACAACUACCGACAGUGAUGUCCUUGACUCUUCCAGUCAUCAUGGCACAUACAACAUGCACGCCGUAUCAUCCAGAUUGCUGAUGAGCUAUAAAUAAAUGAGGGGACCUCGGCUAAUCUGUGGCCUUGAAGCUCACUGUGUACAUGAUAAUGUUAAUUGCAUUGCAAGGUCAGGGGAAGUAAUGACAUUUUAACGGGCUUAGUUCCAGCACGAUCAACAGGAGUGUAGCAAUGCCGUGUCUGUGUGAAGAAUGAAGAAUGUUUCAGAGGGCAUGACCUAAAUUAAAGUCAAAUGUCACACCUGGAUUAUUUUAGGCGAGGUAUCUUGCGCGUGCUGCGUUUGGAACAAACUCAAAAUUCCUCCAGCACAUACAAAUGAAAUGCAAACAAAAAAUGAAGAAAAUGAAAGGACAGUUUAUUUUGUAUGUAUGACUCACAGAUAUGUCUCUAUAUCCAUAGAAUUCCUUAGCAUUGCCACAACACAGUGCACUUCACAUAAGCCAGAUCCUGGAAACAAAGUUCUUUCAUAUACAACAAAACAAGCUAUUGUAAAUACUUGAAAACACAAAACAAAACCAAGUCCAAGCAACAUACUGUAGUAAUGUUUAAAAGAAUAUGAAAAUCGAAUUUCCGCAAAACCGAUGUUCCAAUGACAGACGUUUUAUAUCGUUUUUCAGGAGAAAAGCACCUAAUGUGUCUUUGUAGCUCCAUUGGUAUAGUAUUUGAGGAAUCUCCUGACGUUUUCUUGCUCCUGUUCCUCUCUUGCUUAACUUUCUGCGGUGGAGAUCCCUUUCAUGGUGUCCUGCUUCUGAUGGACAGAAGCCUUGAACCGUCCCUGGGUAUGAUGGUGUGCAGUAAUGUGUGUGACUUGAGUCAGAUCACACGGCUAAUAACGUCUACAACCUUUCUACAACCGCCUCAAGAGUCUUUGUGGUGUUCAUCCACCAGAUGGUUGAAACUGCGCUUAUACACCAGGUGAUUAACUUCCUUUACAGAAGAGAACCCACUGAUCAUGCGGUGGGAUCAUCCAAAAACUUCGCCGACAGGUCCAUAGACAUGGAAUCGUUUAUUGAUAAAAGAGAUGAAGCAAGAUCCUUGACGUUCUCCUGUGCAGAGGGUCAGAAAGUCUGCUAUAUGCUUUCCUAGCAAAACCUUCCUUCUCCUGUUUGACAGAUGGAAUCUGGCAACUCAACUAGUAGAACUCGACCUGCAGCAGCACUGGGUGUUAAAAUCUGAGCUGAAAUCCACAAACUGAACUCCUGCAUAGCUUCAAUGCCUGUCAAGCUGCUGUAGCAUGAAGGUCAUAUUGAUUGCAUCAUCAACAGAUCUGUUCAUUCUCUCCUCAAACCACAGGAGCUCUUGCAAGAGAUGUGUAAUAACCUUCAGAUUAGCCUAGACCAGAAAGUUGAUGACUUUGAUGAUUAUGGAGGUCAGUGUAACUGGGUUUUUCAGCAUCUUAUCAAACUACUAAAUCACAAGGGAGCGGAACUUUUCCACAUGCUUGAGUUGCCCUCUUUUGCAUGAUACCACCCUCUUGCAAGAGCUCCUGUGGUUUGAGGAGAGAAUGAACAGAUCUGUUGAUGAUGCAAUAUGAUGAUGCCACCUUCCAUGAUGCCUGUGGUCACGAUUUCUCUGAUUGAUAGGAAAAUGCCUAUUGAAGAGCCCAGGGCCAGUUUUGCUUUCUUGGUCUCCUUGCUAUGAAUGGCUGUGGCAAAACCAGGAUUCAAAUUUGAUAUCAAGAGUCAUACCUUUCAAGUGAGCAACUGAGAGCCCAGACGAUGUGUUAGAACUUCUCAGAAAUGAAGCACUCUAAAGUCCUCAACUGAGAACUUAGCAAAAAAAAAGUGGCAUGAACAGACCAGACACAAAUUAUUUUUAGAUUUUUAAUACUGGACAUUAUUCCCAUGAAGGCUGUUUUGUUUCAUUUCAGUAACACACAAUGCUUGAUUUGAGAAAUUCCUAUCCUACAGAAAUCCAGCGUUCGGUACACAGGGUCUUUGAAAAUUGAUCAUACGCAAUAUAUGAUAGUCACUGCAUACGUUCAUGCUAAUGCGAAUUUUGUGCAGGGUUUUAGAUUCAAGUAUACUGUUGAGGAACACAGUCACCUGAUUGAGUGUCUCUCGCCCUCCUGCUUACUCAGGGACUCUGUGGACAGCUGUGUCUUAAACUACAGUUGCUAUGGGUGUUAGAUUGCAAUGUUGAGGUACCAGUGUAGGUAAUAUGAUUAUUUUUUUCCAUAUGUCAAGCCAGUGUUCAAAGCCAGAGUUAGAGUUCAGAGUUAGAGAACUUUGCCUGAUUAUGAUGAAAUGUAUUUUGCGAGUGUUUCCCAAAAGCCUUUGUUACCAGAGGCUUAACAAACACUGACUUCACUGGUAUAAAUGAAUGCCUAGAUAGCAGUAUCUGUAAAGGGUUGUAAAUACACUUAAACAUACAUUAGUGGUUUCUGAUUAUACCUAAUUGUUUAUUACUUAAUUAAUGAGCAUUCCUGUGACAUUAACACAUCAUUACAAAGCUUCCAGAUGUGCUAUGUAUCUUUAUAGUCUCACAAAAAUAAAUUGUGCUGAAUUCAGUCAGUUCCUGCUGAGAAAAGAUGAGUCACAUGGGAAAGCUCAGAGCCUUGUCACAGUCCUGGAAAACAAAAGUGAUUAGCAGUUCAAGUAAAUAUGUAAAAAUAUGUACAUUUAGGAUUUUUUUAGUAGCUGAAGUAAUUGAAGUAUCUAGUUCUUGAUUUCUUUUUACCUGCAGUGGCUGCUACUAUUAGAGUAAUUUAAACCACACUGUGGCAAAAUGGCAGAACGCCACGCUGCAACUUUUCAUCCCGAUUCGACAGGCAGUGUGAAAUUCAGCCUCACCUGCCUGCCACUGUUGGGUAUAAUGAAUGUAGCAGUGCCUGUGAUAUCCACCUGUUCAACACUGAUGCUUCGUUGCCCCACGCCAUUCUUUUGAAACGCGUUCUCAUGUUGCAAACGCUUGUCGUCUCACGUACGUGCCAGUAACAAAUUCGUACGGAGGUGCAGGGAUGCGCUUUUACAACACAGCUGCCCCGAACGUCUUCAGACAGCUGAGAAAACUGAAGAUGAAGGGGACCACUGACCCCAUUCAUGCACAGAUCUUAACCUCUAGAUUCGAUCUUAAACUGAGGUGCAGCAGCUGUUGUUAGAGAGUAACAACAGAAACACUGACGCAUUCAUUAAGAUUCUUCUUCUUGAUUUUUGAAGAUAGAAUAAAAAAAAUUUUCAUAGCAAAUGUGAUGUUCUUUGUUUUACUCUACUUGGGCAAUAGACGGGUCAAUUAUCUGUCCCUUUCUUCAUGUUUUUUUCUUUUUUUUCACCCUGAGACUCUGUCACCUGAGGCGAACACAAAAAAAAACAGACAACUCCAGAACCUUCUCUCAGAACAGCCGAGGAUUUGAACUGUUUUCUGCACAUUAUUUUAACAAGCGAUAGAGCUUCCUUUGACUGGAAAAUAAAGACGAAGCAUAGGAGGGGAAUGAAAAAAAGAAGAAAAAGGUUUUCAAAAGAGAAAUGGGAUCCCUGUGUACCACAAAGAGAGUUGGCUUAAAGGGAUCAUUAAGGCUAAAGAAAAGCCAGAGCUUCUUAAAAGCAGAUGGGACUUUCGGGCUGACGCUGGAGGGCAACACUCAGAAAAAGGCGAGAGACCGCAUGAAGGGCCCCGUUGGUGACACAUGUCCUAGCUAGGUUGCCUUUACUCGCUUGGCCUUUGGUGUGUCAUCCGAUUUCAGAGCCUUGGAGGCAGCGUAGACCAGGUUGAACUAUCCAGUAUUUUGGCAAGGGGCUGACAGAUAAUAGCAAAAAAUGAUCACAAUAAUAAAGUGAACCAUAAGGGAAUCAGUGGCAGGUUUAUAUUGAUGGGUAUUUUGGGAAUAAUAAAGAUUAAGCUUAUCAAAUGGCAGCACGCUUGU